rnacentral:rRNA from 1 species
CCCUUUGAUACUCUGGGCGGCACGCGCGCUACAAUGGAUAACUUAACGUGUUACAUGUCCGAAAGGAUGUAUGCAAAUCACAAAUGUUAUGUCUCGAGUGGGAUAGUUUACUGCAAUUAUAGACUUGGACUAGGAAUCCCUUGUAGGUACACUGAAGCAUAGUGUACCGAAUACGUCCCUGCCGUUUGUACACACCGCCCGUCGUUUCUUCCGACUGAUACUCAUUGUGAAUUGCGGGGAUAACGUUGUUGAAAACCGUUGUAAAUGCUGGGUAUUGGAGGAAGAAAAAGUCGUAACA